rnacentral:rRNA from 1 species
ACUGGGACAACUUCGGGAAACCGGAGCUAAUAACCGGANUAAGAUAUCGAACCGCAUGGUUCGAUAGUGAAAGAUGGUUUUGCUAUCACUUAUAGAUGGACCCGCGCCGUAUUAGCUAGUUGGUGAGGUAACGGCUCACCAAGGCAACGAUACGUAGCCGACCUGAGAGGGUGAUCGGCCACACUGGAACUGAGACACGGUCCAGACUCCUACGGGAGGCAGCAGAC